AGCGAACAGACGAGGAGCUUGCUCCUCUGACGUUAGCGGCGGACGGGUGAGUAACACGUGGAUAACCUACCUAUAAGACUGGGAUAACUUCGGGAAACCGGAGCUAAUACCGGAUAAUAUAUUGAACCGCAUGGUUCAAUAGUGAAAGACGGUUUUGCUGUCACUUAUAGAUGGAUCCGCGCCGCAUUAGCUAGUUGGUAAGGUAACGGCUUACCAAGGCAACGAUGCGUAGCCGACCUGAGAGGGUGAUCGGCCACACUGGAACUGAGACACGGUCCAGACUCCUACGGGAGGCAGCAGUAGGGAAUCUUCCGCAAUGGGCGAAAGCCUGACGGAGCAACGCCGCGUGAGUGAUGAAGGUCUUCGGAUCGUAAAACUCUGUUAUUAGGGAAGAACAAAUGUGUAAGUAACUAUGCACGUCUUGACGGUACCUAAUCAGAAAGCCACGGCUAACUACGUGCCAGCAGCCGCGGUAAUACAUAGGUGGCAAGCGUUAUCCGGAAUUAUUGGGCGUAAAGCGCGCGUAGGCGGUUUUUUAAGUCUGAUGUGAAAGCCCACGGCUCAACCGUGGAGGGUCAUUGGAAACUAGAAAACUUGAGUGCAGAAGAGGAAAGUGGAAUUCCAUGUGUAGCGGUGAAAUGCGCAGAGAUAUGGAGGAACACCAGUGGCGAAGGCGACUUUCUGGUCUGUAACUGACGCUGAUGUGCGAAAGCGUGGGGAUCAAACAGGAUUAGAUACCCUGGU
rnacentral:rRNA from 1 species